GUGCCCUUUUAAGGCUGAUGUCAUGCUGUAAGAGGCUUGCCCAGGAGGACAAAGUAAGUCUCCAUAAAACUCCAUAAAAGAGAAAAUUUUAAAUUCCUCUUUGGAUCCUGUCUCGAGGCACAGUG